UCUGCAGCUCUUCUAAGCACAGUUACUUGCUCAGCCUGGCAGCAAUUGCCAUUCGCUUCUAUUUUCCUCUGUUUCCCUUCCUGCUUUUGUUCUGCUUGUUAACUGCGCUUCAACCAGGUGUCUCCCCACCAGCACCCUUUGUUUCCUGACUGGACUUUGAAAGGAGGCUACCCUCUUGCCCUUCUUCGGUGGAACAAAACAGACAAAAUAUGCAGAUUCUUAACUCAACACACCACAUUGAAUAGCAUGUGGAAAAUUGGCAUUUCCAGUGAAUAAAAAUUAACUGGCAAACAACAAAAGGAAAAACGGAGGAAUGCUGUUGGAUGCUGUUUGGCUCGUCUUGUCUUGUCAGAGAAGGAACACGUGUGAAUCAAAUGGUUGAAGAUGAAUUUUACCUACACGUCUGGCUCCUGUUCAGAUGUUUUAGAUUUCUUAGUUAACUUUAUUUGCUUGAGCCAGAAAUUCAAUUUUGAAGAAAGAAAUGAAAUUUUUCUCCCAGUGAUUUCAUCAUCUUAAUGAGUUUCUGUUAGAAGUUGACAAUAUCUUUCUGAAGACAAAUAUUUCUACAGAACCAAAAUAAGA